rnacentral:rRNA from 1 species
GUAGGGAAUAUUGGGUAAUGGUCGGAAGACUGACCCAGCCAUGCCGCGUGCAGGAAGACGGCCCUCUGGGUUGUAAACUGCUUUUAUCUGGGAAGAAAAAGGCCAUGCGUGGCAAAUUGCCGGUACCAGAUGAAUAAGCACCGGCUAACUCCGUGCCAGCAGCCGCGGUAAUACGGAGGGUGCGAGCGUUGUCCGGAUUUAUUGGGUUUAAAGGGUGCGUAGGCGGCUGAUUAAGUCAGCGGUGAAAGACUUCGGCUUAACCGGAGCAGUGCCGUUGAUACUGGUUGGCUUGAGUGUCGGAGGGGUACAUGGAAUUGAUGGUGUAGCGGUGAAAUGCAUAGAUACCAUCAGGAACACCGAUAGCGAAGGCAUUGUACUGGCCGACAACUGACGCUGAUGCACGAAAGUGUGGGGAUCGAACAGGAUUAGAAACCCGGGUAUCC